GGGCUGCAGUGAGGAAUUUUCCGCAAUGGGGGAAACCCUGACGGAGCGACGCCGCGUGGGUGAAGAAGGCUUUCGGGUUGUAAAGCCCUGUCAGGUGGGACGAAAUCCCGGGUGUGAAUAGCGCUUGGGGAUGACUGUACCACCAAAGGAAGCACCGGCCAACUACGUGCCAGCAGCCGCGGUAAUACGUAGGGUGCAAGCGUUAUCCGGAAUCACUGGGCGUAAAGAGCUCGUAGGCGGUCUGGUAAGUCCUAUGUGAAAGACCCGGGCUUAACUCGGGGAACGCGUCGGAUACUGCCGGACUUGAGAGCGGGAGAGGAAAGUGGAAUUCCAGGUGUAGCGGUGAAAUGCGUAGAUAUCUGGAAGAACACCAGUGGCGAAGGCGGCUUUCUAGACCGCAUCUGACGCUGAGGAGCGAAAGCCAGGGGAGCGAACGGGAUUAGAUACCCUGGUAGUC
rnacentral:rRNA from 1 species